UUAACAUCCUGGAGAAGGCCUUCCUGUUAUCUUUGCAUCCCUUGUCAACUUCAGUUGCAGCUUCACUGUGGCCUUUCACCCCAUUCCCACACACUGAAUUUCACCUCUAUACUCUUCACAGGGUACUUGUUCUUGUUUCCAUUGCCUGUGCAUUUGCUUAUUUCCUUUUCAUUUGAUCAUGAGUUUGAAACUAUCCUGUGGUUUUUGGUUUGUUGAUUUGUUUUUCUGAGAAUCUUUUUUUUUGUGUGUGUGUUAUUGGCAUAGAAUAAAAAGAAAUGCAUUCCAGCAAUUCCAUCACUGCUUACUGAGAGUUUAGGAGGUGUAUUUGUGUAACUCCUAAUAUACUUAAUGACAAAAGAUUAAGGAUACCUGAAAUGCAAGCAUGGAAGGGCAAAAUACAAAAUGAAAUCAAACUGGCAAACUUGCAUAAAUUUGGCUGCAUGCAUCCAAGUAAAAAUAGCAAAACUUCAUAUAUAUUAUAUUGCAUCAGUGAUGGAUGCUACAGGUGAAAAAAAAAAGAAAAAAUUAGGGGGACAUUUCAUAAUUUAACCAAAUUAAUUUUUUAAAUGAGACAGUAGGAAUACGAUUCAAAAGUUUAAAUUUUGGUCUCAAGUUUUAAAUUUAUCCUAGCUGAGAUUAAGUAUAUCUAUGUAUAAAUGGAAGACUCCCAUAUUUAUUCUGCGUGUGACUUAUUCUGCUUAUACAUUAGACCUGUUCUGUACAGUCAUUGCUACAUGUAGGCCAGUGUAAAUUUCUUGUUUUUACUUGCUAAGCACUUUUGAGGGUUGUGGUUAUCUUUUGCAUUUCUAAGAGAGAGAUAUGAACAUGAGCUGAAUGUACACUCUAACAGGAGACAGUCUGCUACUAACUAUAUGGUUGGCAGCAGGCAAUGCAUUUUAUGCCAUGGAAUUUGGAGGCAUUUCGCAGCAACUGAAUUGGAUAUUUUUAUUUGCUGGCAUAUCGUGUCCUUACCCCUCUGAGCUCUGUCUGUGGCUCAGGUCAUUGCAAACAGUGGCAAUACCAAAGCAUGUGUGCUGGGUUUGCUGUGUUCCUACAUGCUCUUGCCAGUGCAGCCUAGUGGAAGAUGAAAUAUUCUGAUCAUGUAGGAAUGAUGGUGGCAAUUUGACAAUUUCUGAAUAUUAUUUUUGACAAAUGUUAUAAGUGUUAUAGAAAUAUUUUCAUUCAAUAUUAACAUUAUUGUAACACUAGUAUAGAAGCAUAAAUUAGAUGAGUCAGAAUUAUGGCCCUUUUCCUGCUGUGUGUGGGCAGACCCCUGCAUCUGUGUUCAUUGCAGGUUUGGGACCUAAAUGCAUUAGAUGCGUAUUGGAAGAAAAUGAAUCUGCAAAGUAUUUUAAUAGAAGGAAUACAUUGCUCUUAGUUGUGAAAAAUCCUCUAAAAUUGUAAAUGUUCUUGUGCUUUACUUUGAAAAAGACAAGUAUGUUAAUAUGGAAAUGUCUCUGGAAAUUCUUGUAAGAUUAAUGACAAAACUGGAAAAAAAAAAGGUAAAACAGCUCAAAUCAAUGUCUUGAAAGAAAAGCAGAGGUGUAUUGUCUUAUACAGAUUCCUGACGAGAUCUGUGUACAUGGACUCCAGUUGUGGUCCAGUAUUUCUGUAAAUUGUAUUUAUAGGUAAUGUACUAAUAUCUCACACAGUAUGGUAAUAUCAUUAGCUUUUCGUGACAGCAGUUUUCCCAAAGUCAUGAACUGUAAUUUCAUUGUCUGCUUCUUCUCAGGGGAGCACUGAAAAUACUCACUAAUAGGGAUCUCUCAUCUGACAACUUUCGUCAAACAGAAACUUGCAGAUUAUUGAGGAAGACAUCCUAUUGCUUGGGAUCCUGAGAUAUGUCUUUGUUUUUAAGUAUUUCAAAGAUACCUGUGUGGAGCAAUGCUUUAUUUGUUUUUUCUUCCUCUGUGAAAAUAAUAUGUUCCAUAUCUGUCAUCUGGUUUGGCUUUUUAUACUGAGAAACAGCAGUAAAUAUUUCAGAAAAGCAAGUAGUUGUGCUUUUACUGAGAAAAGUGGAAAUUACAAAAAAAAAAUCAUCUAAGUCAGAAGGGGAAAAGAGAAGGAUUUAUUUUCUCAUAGCUGAGGAUGCUCAAGUGGAUAUUGCUUCAACUUCUAGAGUGAGCAUAUUCUGCACAGAAGGAUUAGAAAUUUCUCCUCAUUGGCGUAAAUAAAAAAUUUGAUGAUUCGCAACUUCUUCUGAAAUUCUUCAUGCUCCUUCUUUCCUCAGAUAUCACCUUGUGCUAUUUCUUCUUCUCAUCUCUGUAUCUCUGCAAGUUAAGGAAAUAGUGGCUUCUCUCUUUCUUCCCCCUUUGCUGCCACCUCCAGGGAAGGUUAAAAAUCCAGCAUCACUGAGAAUUCAGCUUUGCCAGGACUGAGGGUCAUCUUGAGAUUACAAUUUUCAAGUUAAUAUUCAGAGCAGUUACAGGGACCCCUGCUUCUUCUUUUGUUUCUAUUAAUCAACUUAGGAAAAUUUGAUUAGCUCUGGUUGUUUGUGAGAAUACAGAUCAACUGUCUUUCUCUUUUCAGAUUGCCUGUAUCUAGUCUGUCCUCUGAGAUGCUGAAACCUUCUGAUAUGCAGAUUUCUUUCGCUUAAACCGAUUUUCAUCUAGUAGAUUGAAUUAUAAUUUCAUCUAAAUCCUUCCUUUUCUGAAAAUGUGAUAUUCAUUGUGAGCAUUUUCUUGGCUCUAUAAUAACAUUCAACUUGAGUAUCAGAAAAAUAGUAGUACUUGGAAAAUAUUUUGAUAGUCUUACAAGUCAAGGUAUAUUGUCAGAUCUUCUAGCGACCACAUACAGUAUAAGAGCAACAUCUAUAAUUAACUUGGCACAGGUGGGGGGAGGAUAGGGAAAUUGUCUCUGUUACCUCCCUUCUUUGGUUUUGAAAUCUCAUGCUCUUGUAUGAUACGCUUGGGAAAUUGCAGACUGUGAGUGGGAUUCAUAUGGCAAAAUGUAGACAUCUACAUCUGAGUUAGUCACCCAAGGCUCCCUGUGUGGGGAAUGGAGAGAAACAGGACAGAUGAAUCACACCCUUGAAGAACCUAUUUUUUUUUACCUCUAUGCUAAGACAAAAUGACUCAUAGCCUGAAAGUGCCCAUUUGGCUAGCAAAGGAGGUUGGGGUAACGACUGGAAUGUGAUGGCUGCAUUCUGCACCCCAAAAGCUAGAUGAGAUGUACAUUGCACUUUGUGGCUCUGGUGCAUACCUGUGUGCUUGCAUGUACAUAUUUGUCAGAUUGUGCGAGUGUUCAGUCCUGGGCAAAAAAAGUCACUAGUUUUCCACAUAGAAAUUCCUUGAAAAACUAAAGACAACUUUAUGUUUCCAUGUGUGAAAACUCAGAAAUCAGGAAAUGUGUAAAUUGAAUUAACAUUAAUUGAAUUAACAUUUCUCCUGUAUGUACAUUUCUCAGUAUGCAACAGCAAAUAAUUGAAAAACUCUAAUAAGUAAAUUUUCAAAACUUUGUCAGCAAAUCAGUUUUGUAGCUAAUGGUGCCACUGUUUGUUUAGUCACCUUUGGAAACUGUGUGCCCUCUGCUCUUAUGGAGACAUGUGUGUGAUGUCUUCCAGACGUUGUAGGGAGCUGUGAGCUCUUUGUGCUACAUCUAAGGUAGUCUUUCCUCUGUGUGCAAACUACAUAAUAUGUCUCCCUCAAAUUAUCUCUGUCCUCAGUCAGCCUGAGGAGUGUGCUGUUAGUGAAUAUGUGAAGACCUUGCAAUGCCACUUGCAGAAAGGAAAUCUGUCUUCUGGUGUUUGCUUUUCAAUACAUCAGCAGCAGCAGCAUGUGGGGUGUGAGCCAGGGUGGGCUCAGAAACAACUUGUAUUCACAGUGGUGUUGUAUUCACAGUGAUGUUGGUGCCACUGAAAAAUCUGUGUGGAGUCCCCUCAAUGAAAACACUGGUGUGAGAUAUAUGAUCCUCCCACAAAGAGGUGAACGAUAUUAAAAUAGAAAUGGCCAAUGAAACAAGACAAAUUAUGAUAGCCCAAUAAUAUAGUAUUUAUAGUUUCUUUUCAGCUUCUGUUGUGUAUGCACAGAUAUGCAUGGUGGACUGACAUAAAUAAAACUGAUAAGUUUCUGAUUUUAUAGAGAGAAUAAAUUUGUUUGGCUUAGAUCUGUAGUUAGAGUAUAUCCAGAAAGAUGGCUUUUGCUAGAAAUUGAGCUUUUGUACCCCCUAACCCAGCCUGAGGAGCAUGAUCCACUAAGUAGAUUCCAGCACACCAAGUUCCUAUGUAGUCAGCAACAUAGAUACCCUAAAAGGGGUAACACAACACAAGGGUCACAGCUCCUCAUUCUCUGGUUUUCAGAGCUGCAAACUAGGACUUACUCAGAUCCAGACCCUGGAGAUAUAUUCUGGCUAGCUGUGUAAAUCACAGCUGAUUUUCGUGCAUGAAUGAAGCCAUGGUGUAUGAGAAGCAAUGCAUCUGCAGUAGUCUCCGUGAAAUCUGCAGAUCACGGAUCCUAAUUACCAGAAAAUCUUUUCCUGCCAAGUCACACUAGGUUUAGAAGGUACCUUGCUUUGUUGAUCCUUUUGAAUCUGGACAGCUUUAAAGCCAGACAUGCAAGAUUUCAGUCAAGGAUAAGUAAGAUGUGGCUGUGGCCUGACUGUAGUCUUACAGUGACACAGAAUGAUGGACAAUCACUGGAUUCAACACCCUCCUCCUUCCAGACAAAGCCAGCAUUGCUUCUAUCAUCCUUUCUCUACCAAAAAGGAAGAAAGCCCUCAGAAAAGAGUAGUGUCUGUGUUAUAGAACCAUUAUGAAAUCUGUGUUUGAAAUACCCAAUGUAGCUUUCUGAAUCAAGGACAGAGUUCAAUUAAAGUGAUGCCUCUACUGGCUUUUGUUCUGGCUAGAUCAGUUCAACACCAUGUUGUAGGUUAAAUUAUUGAAGCUGCAGAGGUAGCUGAGAACUGGCUACAGCACUGAAUUUCUCCCAGCUGCUAGUGUUUUGUCAGCACUGAUCAGUGAUUUGUGCUCAAGUCGUUUGGUCAGAAUCAUCACCAGUGAGCAGCAGGCUAUAUUUGGCUUCUUACCUUACUUCUCAGCCAAAGGCAGGCAGGCAGAUCCAGACCAGCAGCCUUACGUGGGAUCUGCCCUGGACAGCCGUGUGCUGGCUCACAGAACCGAGUGCUUCAAAUCAGUGUGUCAGCAGCUGCCUGCGAAGGCAGGGCUGGAGUUCUGCCAGUCCCUGGAAAGAUGAAGUGCCUCUUCCAGAGGCCAACGAACCUUCCUUGAUUAUGUGAUUUGAUCUGAUCUUUGAUUAGAGUGGCUAUGGUAAGAUUUCUUUCGUUUUCCAUAUAUGAAUUCUACUUAAAUCACAGAGUUUGAGAUUUUAAUUUAAGCAGUUCUUCUACAUUUUAUGUUUUUCCACGUUUUUUAACCUCUGCAAGAACUUCACGCUUUCUUUAUUGGUGUCCCAAAUUCUUCCUGUCUAGGCUGUAUAGAAAUAAUGUUUUACUGUCUCUGUUGCUAUUAACACAGUGUCACAGGGUAUAAGAAUGACCUGUCCAAGUUUUUUACAGGACACCAGGUUGUGUUGCCUUGCCCAGAGAUAGAAGGAUGGAUGUUUACUGUGAGAAUCUUUCUAGAGCUUGGGAGUAGAGGACCUGGGUGAUUGCAGUAAUUCCCAGCAUGAACUGAUGUAAAGCAGCACUGGUAUUUUUUCACUGAGGGAGACCAGGAGCAGUCAGGUGAUCCACAAUGAUGUCUGGAGGCAGAAAUUAAUGGAGUCAGUAGAUGCUGAAGUAAACUGCUGCAAUGAGGUCUCGAAAAAAGCAUGUUAUGUCUGCAGCCCUAGUUGAAGGAAGUGAAUUACCUUAGACAGUCUUGAGCAGAAUGUGAGGAGCAGGGCUCGUUUGUGGCCAGCUGCCAUAUGCUGUUAUUAAAAAUGACAAUGGCAAGGACACCACUCCAGUGCACCACAGUUGCCUUGAAUGCAGUUACAUUUUUGACUUUUGAAACAUUGAAUUGUGAAUGGUUUUCAACAAAUCAGAUGGAACAUGCAGAAAAAAAUGGUUCAAUUGUCCAAUAAGAAAUGUUGUUAGUAUAUGCUUUUCUAAAAUCGAUUUUAUUGUCACAUUGAUUUUGAGUUCUUCUUAACAACAAUGAAAAGAAACGAAUGGAAUUUUAAAAAUUCAUGUAGCACUUCUUUUCUAUUCUAAAAUAUUUUCCUGCAAUAUAAUUAUUCAAAGGAUUUCUGUCUGAGUUAUAUAUUAAAAUAUUUAGAAUUGCAUUUACAUUUGUAAAGACAUGUGCUACCUUGUGUGUCCUGCCACACAGGUAGAGCAGUUUAGCCUGCAUCAGGCUAAUGCUGAUAUGAAUCCACACAUAUAAUAUCUAUUAUCCAUUUAUAUUUUUAUAAAUAUUUUUAUAAAUAUUUAUAUUUUUAUAUUUCUCCUUUCUUUAUAUAUUUCUCCUAUUUUUAUAUUUCUCCUUUCUUUUUAUAUUUCUCCUUUCUACCUAGAAAAAUGAAAUUCAACACAUGUAGCUGAAGUGGUUUAAAACAUCAGUAGCUGUUCUCUGCCAGCAGGUCACAAUCAGCCACUGAGCCACCUUAGUGGGUUGGGUUGGCUGUCAUCUACAUCUGUACAAAGUCAGCUGGGUUAGUUUAUGCCUUGGUGCGUGUGGUUGUUCAGUCUGUUGUGGAAAACAACUGCAGGAUCUUGCUCCUAAACUGUUACAGCUGUUUCCAAAUUAUUACCAAUUCUCUAGGGCUCUGGUGUAAUGCUGUGUGCAGACCAAGGCUUUUUAAAAAAUGUCAAACAUAUCAGAAGCCAUCUUAACAACGGUGAGGAGUGUUUUAGAACUAUUUUUGCCUUAAUUGUAUAUUGGGAAGAGAGACAGUUCCUUGCAAGAACAGGACUUCCUAAUAAUGAAUUUAUAAGAAUAAAACUUGUAAAGUGUAUUUGACAGUAUUUAGCAGCUGCAGAAUUUCGUUAUUUGUUCCCUGAUUUCAUGCUGUCAAAUCUGACAACAUGAACUAGUGCCAGUCUUUGCUUUGAAAGACAAUUUCCUUUUAUAAAAAUCCUAAUUAUUAAAGCUAAAUUUAGAUUUUAUUAGAAGGAAGUUUUUAGUCUUUUAUAUUUGUAAAAUAGCUUUCAAAAAUGAAGUUGGUUCUACCUUUGACAAUUAAUCAAAAUGGUAUUUAAUGAAAGCCAGAUUUUUUUUUCCACCUUCUGCUACCAAUGGAUGAAGUUGGUGUGAAUGGCGAGGAAGGCACUUGUAUUUUUGAUACACAUAAAACAUGGUUAUCAACUCUGUAGAAGUCUGGAUUUAUUAACCAUUUUCAGACACACUUAGUUGGGCACAUUUGAAUCUCAUUUAGCUAAAGAUACUAUUGAUCACCCACUGCAUGUGGAGGAGAGGGUGUUCAAACUGGGAAGUUAACUUGGAUGUUGCCAUAAUUUGGGUCCUAAAGAUAUACAACCCUUUUGUCUUUAAAAUGACAGUGCUUUUAACACCCUUCUUGAUGGAAUUUUCAGGUACUAUAGGCAAAGGUUUGAAUUAAUGCAGAUUAACAGCUGCUACUGUAACCUGUGCUCUGGAUACAGGCUAUCACAGCUCAGAUGCUACUGGCCUUCUGAACUGUUCUGUGCUUUGUCCAAAUUCCAUCACAACCCAGAAAGCACAGACCAGUUAUUCCACUGCUUACCUGAAAAUAAUGCAUGUGACAGUUUAUGGUUUGGGGGCAAGAUACGCUUUUAUUAACUAGCAGCAAGCUAGUCUUCUGACCUCUUUCCCUGGAAUACACCAGACUUCUGGAUGCAGAACUGAUGUUAAGUGUACAGUUGGCUGGUAAUGAGGGAUUUGAGCCCUUUUCCCUGCUUCCCCCACAAGAACUUAGUGUAGAGACUAUAAUGAGAGUUACAGUAAGUAUGCUGACAACCAUGGAGGAAACUGGUGCUGGUGUUGUGGGGCAUCUUGACUAUGUUUUCACAAGUAUAAGUCAUAGAAGUGGGACCACUGAAGGAAGCGCUAAUGAAACAUGAAUUUUCUGCACCAUCCAAUGAUACAGCCAUGUUUAGCUGCUGAAACAAUAUUCCUUAAUGAACAGUUUUGAACUUACUGUAUUAUACUGCUGUAGUUCUAGCCUAAUUCUGUGAGAAAUAAUGAAGCAUAUACAUUAAGAAUGAGAAAAUCUUAGCACAAUGCAAAGUAUUGUAGAACACAUACCUAUGAAGCAUCCAGUGCACACAAACUCAUAGAACUUUCUGUAGUUAAGAUGGGAAGGAAUCUCUGGAGAUCAUCUAGACCAGCUCCUGUGCUCAAGUAGGAUCAGUUGAAGCAGAUUGCUCAGGGCCAUGUUCAGUCAGAUUUUGAGUAUCUCCAAGCAUAGAGACUCCAAAACCUCUGCAGGAAACCUGUGUUCAAUCAAUGUCUUGAUUAAAAAAAGCAAGGUUUUCUUAUGUUUAAAAGGAAUUUCCUGUAUUUCAGUUUGUGACAUUUGGCUCUUGUCGAUUCACUGGUUCCCACAGAGAAAAGCCUUGCUCAGUAUUCUUUGUACCCUCCCAUCACAUAUUACACACAUUAAUGAGAUGCCCUGACCCUCUGUUCUCCAGGAUGAACAGUUCCAGCUCUCUCGGCCUCCCCUUGUAUGACCCUCACUUGUCUUUGUGAUCCUUUGCAGAUCCUGCUCCAGUAGGUCCAUGUCUCUCUUGUACUGGGAAGCCCUGAACUGGACAGAGUACUCCAGGUGUGGCCUCACCUGGGCUGAGUACAGGGGCAGGAUCACUUCUCUUGACCUGCUGCCAGUGCCCCCACCUCAUGCAGGUCAGGACAGUGUUGACCUUCUUUGUGAAGCUUAUAUGGUCUAGUAUUGUGUGGCAGGUUUCAUUAGAGAGAAAUAAAGUUUUAGGGGAAGUGAACUAGCUUGAAUUAAAUUUUUAAAUGUCAAAAUAUGACCUCAGUGAAGUGAACAAUGUGUGCUAGUAAACUACAGGAGAGAAACUGUCAAUCUGGGAAUAAGACAACAAGCCCACAGAGGCUUCACAGUGAUCAAUGAAAGAACCUAAAAAACCACCAGAGUAUGGUGUAUUUCUUGGGAAAUCUCUUGGCCUGAGAAUAGGCCUUGGGGUGGCACUGGGCAGGGGGCUAGGACAUCUAGUCGGCUACCAACUACCAAAUGGUAUGCUGCAGCCUGCGGUAGGUCUUUGUGUAAGCUCCAUUUUUAUGUAGCUGUCUUCUUAUUAGAAUUGUAUUUGGUUAUAUAUCUAAAAUACUCCUGCUGCUGUCCUUGCAUAAAGCCAGUUGUAAGGAAUAGUUAGGGGUAAGUUUUUGUGUUUUCCCUCUCCCUUGCUUCCACUUAUUUAGUCAUGAGAACAUGAUGAGGAACUGUUUUGGUUUUUUUUCCCACAUGCUGAGUGAUUAAGGACCUGAGUGCUGAAGACCCACUUUCCCCUUCCCUGAGCAUCAUUUUCUCUUCCACCCAAUUUGCAAUAUGUUUUUUAGGCUCUGCUGGAGCUCAUGAAACAUUCAUACCUGUGGUUAUAUGGUACAUUUUGUAGCACUUGUACUGUGGUAUUACUGUGUGCCUUUAGCCACAUGACAUCCUUGUGUCUGACCUGAGAGACAUGGAUUUUACUGAUGGACCACUUGGUGAAUAAGUAAUUGGCUGGAUGGAUGCACUUUAAAGUGUUGUAGUCAGUGACUCAGUGUCCAGGUGGAGACCAGUGACAAGUGAUGUUCCUCAGGGACUGGUGUUGUGCCUGACACUGUUUGACAUCUUGGCAACAUGGACAUAGAUUGAGUUUGCCAAUGACACCAAGCUGUUCAGUGGGGUCAACGUGGUGCAGGAAAGAGAUGUCGUCCAAAGGGACAUGGGCAGACAGGCCUGUGUAAACCUUACAAAGCUCUACAAGGAUCUACAGAUGGAUCAGUGCAUUCCCAAGUACAAGUAUAGGCUGGGUGUGAAUGGAUUGAGAGCAGCCCUGAAGAGAUGGGUCUUGAUGGGUGUUGGUGAAUGAGAAGCUCAGCAUGACCCAGCAAUGUGCACUCACAGUCCAGAAAGCCAGACACAUCCUGGGCUGCUUCAAAAGAUGCAUAGCCAGCAGGGCAAGGGAGUUAUUCUCCCUUGCUGCUUCACUGUGGUGAGACUCCACCUGGAGCACUGCAUCCAGCUCUGGAACUCUAACAGAAGAAUGACAUGGACCUAUUGGAGUGAAUCCAGAGGAAAAUGAGCAGAGGGCUGGACGACCCCUCCCAAGAAGACAGGCUGAGAGAUUUGAGUUGUUCAGCCUGGAGAAGAGAAGGCUCUGGAGAGACCUUAUAGCAGCCUUCCAGAACCUCAAGGAUAGGAGAGCGCUAUAGAGGGGCUUUUUUACAGGGGCUUGUAGUGAUAGGGCAAGGGGGAGUGGCUUUAAAAGGAAAGUGUAGGUUUAGAUUAGAUAAUAGGAAUAUGUUUUUUAUUGUGAAAAUGAUGAAGCACUGGCACAGGUUACCCAGUGAAGCUGUGAAUACCCCAUCUCAGGAGGCAUUCAAGGCCAGGUUGGGUGGGGCCUUGAACAACCUGGUCUUAAUAAUAGGUAUCCCUGUCCAUGACAGGGGGGUUGGAACUAGUGGUCUUUAAACUAGUGGUCUUUGAAACCAGACCAUUCUGAUUGUAUGAUAUAUGAUAUAGUGUUUACAUGAAAUAUGGACUUAAAUGUUUUAUCUGAAAACAUGCAUGAAAGCAAGUAAUUCUCUGCUUCCUUCCUCCCCCAGAAUCAUAACUGUCCAUGAUUAUAUUGUCAGAAGUUUAUGUCUGGCCCUAGUUAAUGCUCUUUCAUUUCAUGGUGGUCAUACUUCCUGUCUGAGACCUUCAAUACUGAUCCUGUACUUGGAGGUCCGUUCUGAUCUGCCAAAACCAAAGAAAUGAGUAUCCAUAAACAAGAGGGAACUGAAUAAGAUGAUUGCUCUGCUUCCUUUUUCUUGAACAUAUUGUAGUCAGAUUUGGGUUAUAAUUUGAAAUAGAAUUGAAAAAUUCAAAGGAAGCCUCAUAAUGUUCUUAAAAUCUCUCAGAUGAGAAGUCUUUUUAGGUGGCUUAAAGAAACCCAUGCCACAUGAAAUGUGUUACCCAUGGGCCCUAGUUUCUCCAUGUCUGCCAUUGCUGUUAAGAAGCCCUUUCUCAUGCAGCCUAUGGCUGGCAUCUUCCAGGAGGGUCCCAUUGGUUUAAAAGAUACUUCAUUGUGUGGUUGUUCUGGAGGUUUCAGUUUAGGAGAAUGCUGAAAAACAACCCACAAGUUCAUCUGAAUGCUCUGGCUAGCUGGAUUAAUUUUCAGGCUGUUUUGUGUGUGUUGAAGAAAACAUCAUAUCUGAAGGAGGUUUUUGCAGCCCACCUACUUGAUGGUUGGGACUGCCCAGGGAAGCAGUGCAAUUGCAGGAGAACCCCUGUGGAAGAACCCCUCUAUGUUAGCCUCCAGAACAGCAGGCUCACUGAGGCUGGAGCAGUUGGAGGUGGUGACUAUGUCUGCUGGAUGUUGUGGCCAAGUUAUGGAGCUGAAGGAGGAGAGGAGCAGACCAUGUUUAUGGUAUCAGGGAAGAUGGAAGAAGGACUGAGAGUGUCUUCACAGAGACCCUGCAGAGAUGAGAACCUGAAUGUCCUGACUAUGGAAAACAGAGCAGCCAGUCUGUGGGAAGUUUUUAUAUUAGUGGAGGAACACUGUGUUGAGGAACACAGGAGGCUUAUGACUUCUGUCAGAAGUUGUCCUUACAAGGUUGCUGUCUUACCUUCAAAAGGACAGUCAGGCAAUUUCUGUGCUGAAUGGAUAAAUGCAAAUGUGGCCACCUUCAAAAAAUCCCAGAAUUUUAACUUGGAGAACUACAAGCCAGUCAGCCUUAAUUCAGCCCCUGGGAAAAUCAUGGAGUGAGUCCUUUUGUAAUAUGUUUCUGGACAAAUUGGUGAUUGAAACAGUCAGAAUGUAUUUUUUAAGGGUAAAUGAUUCUUGACCAACUAAGUUGCCUUACUAUGCUGAAAUCUCUAUUGUUGUGGAUGAGAGAGUACUGUGUCAUUGACCUUGGCUUUAACAGAAAGUUCUAUACAAUUUCCCAUAAUAUUCUCAUGUCCAUAUUGGGGCCUUACUGUCUGGAUUAACUAGUAACAAAUAAAUACCCAGCUGGACAUUUAGGCUCAGAGUGUAGCAGUUAAUGGUUCAUAUUCUGCCUGGAUACCAGUGGAGUGCCAAGGGGUUUCUACCCUUUAAUGUACUUUUCAGUGACCUGAAAAAGGCAAUAGAAUGCAUUUUGGUUUAAGUUUGCAGAUGAUGCCAUACUGGGAAGCCCAGUAGAUAGCACAGCAUUUUCAUCUAUAGGGACCCUGAUAAAUAAGAGUAGUGUGUUGACAGGAACCCUAUGAAAUUCAGUAGGGCAGAUGCAUGCUCCUGCUUAGAAGCAAUGUACCAGAGUGGGUUGGAAAUUGACUAGUAGCAGUUCAGCAGAAUAUUUUGGCAAUCCAGCAGAUGGGAAGCUGAAUAUAAGCCAUCAGUGUUCCUUGGCAGCAAAGGCCAACAGCAUCCAGCAGCCAGGAAAGCAAGGGGAAGUAUAUCCUCUAGUCAGCACUCACUAGGUGUCAUCACAAAUAUUGCAUCUUUUGGACCUUUUCCAUCUUCCCUGAUAGAAUACAUAAAGUUUUGGACCCCACAAUACAGGAGAGGUGAUUAUGAGGUGCAGGGAGUUCAGCAGAGGCCACCAAAAUGGUCAGGGAUUGAUCUGGGGCUCUUGUCCUCUGAGAGCGGCUGAGGCACCUGGUCUUGCUCAGCCUGGAGAAGAGUUUGCUUUAGGGGGAACCUGUUAGUACCUACAAGGAGUUUAUUCAGAAGAUGGAACCAGGCUUUCCCAAGCACUGUGUUGGUUGGAGGAUGAGAGACAUUUGGCAUGAACUGAAUUGAGAGACUCAGAGUGAAUAUAAGAAAAAGCUUUCUCAUCAUAAGGAUAGUCAAACAGUGAGUAGCUACCCAAAGACUGUGUAAUCUCCACCUUUGAGGUUUCAAGACUGACUGAGCAACCUGAUAUGACAAUAGAGCUGACCCAGUUGUGAGCAGUUGGUUGGACUAGAUCAUCUCCAGAGAUCCCUUCCAACCUCAAAUAACCUGUGAUCCUGUGUGUAGAAGUAUGUAUAGAUUAUGUACAGAAUUAAUUCUGUGGAGACUGUAAAUGGAACAUGUCUUCAAAGACAACACAAAAGUGGUUCACUUUUGACAAGUAAUGUAUACUUUUCAAAAUAAGGAAUAUUCAGACUUCCAUGAAAAGAAAAAUAAAAUGUAAAAAAAUCUGUCUGCUUUUCUCUGCCUCCCCAGUUUCUUUGCAGAUCUUAUUUUAGCCCAGAACCAGCAAAGUCUGAAAUGUUGUCACCAUAUUCAUGCACACAUUCCUUUCCUGUAUUCAUGUUGAAUGCAUCUCUGUGAAAGAUUUAAUAAAUGGCUUCCAUUUACAUCAUUUAUGUAGUGAAUAGAGCAUGAAAGAUGGAAAAAAACAGCUUUCAAAAUAUCAGUGUAGCUGUUCUAUUUGGGGACAACCCUUCAAACACCUGAAUUCUUGCAUGUCUACUAAAGUGAAGACAGUAAGGGUGAUACAUGUAUUCAUGCUGGUGUUUGACAGUUUGCAAAUAAUUCAUACAAUAAAUGUCCCCUAAUGUAGUCUAAAUGCAUCUCUCAGAUAUUUCCAACUGGGCAGCAUAGAUGUAAUCAAGAAUAAUUGAAGAGCUGAUUUUGUGCUAUGUUAACAGAACUGUCUUCCUGAAUAGGUUAGGAUGCCUAACAUGUUGGCUUUCUCCAUGAUCAUAUUGUUUGAAUUGGAUGUGGAAGAAUGGUUAGUACUAUUUAGUCAUAAUCUGUCAUAAGAAUCCUAAAUAGCUUUG